AACGAACGCUGGCGGCAGGCCUAACACAUGCAAGUCGAGCGGACCCUUCGGGGUUAGCGGCGGACGGGUGAGUAACGCGUGGGAAUAUGCCCUUCUCUACGGAAUAGUCCUGGGAAACUGGGGGUAAUACCGUAUACGCCCUUUGGGGGAAAGAUUUAUCGGGGAAGGAUUAGCCCGCGUUGGAUUAGGUAGUUGGUGGGGUAUUGGCCUACCAAGCCGACGAUCCAUAGCUGGUUUGAGAGGAUGAUCAGCCACACUGGGACUGAGACACGGCCCAGACUCCUACGGAAGGCAGCAGUGGGGAAUUUAAGACAAUGGGUGCAACCCUAAGAAGGCCAUGCCGCGUGAGUGAUGAAGGCCUUAGGGUUGUAAAGCUCUUUAAGAUGGGAAGAUAAUGACGGUACCAGCAGAAGAAGCCCCGGCUAACUCCGUG
rnacentral:rRNA from 1 species